AUGUCUGCUAAGCAAUUUUCUAACAGGAAAAUCUGGCAUCUCUCACGUGAGGAGAAAUACGGGGGAGGAAAGGAACACUUAGCUGCUGAGCCUGAACAAGCAGAGAAACAGAGACUCGUGAGUGAUGUCAAACACCAGGUUCUUGGGCUGCCUCUUGACCUGAUGCCUGACCUGCCCUUGGAUGCCCAGGAUAUGAAAGAUUUCUGCCCGAGUCUGCCCUGGUCUCCUUUCUUCCACUCUGAGGAACUGGAGGACUGGACAAGUGGCGUGAAUGUCUGGGUAUCCACAUUGUUACCAUCGCUGCGGGGGCUGUGUGAAGAACCACAUGGAUGGAGAGGUGUCUUCUGCUGUGCUGGGCUAUCUCAUCACUUUGAUCUCCCACUGUCACUUUUAGUGUUGGGUGAGACUUCUUCCCUGCCCUCAGCCUCCUCCAUAGACAGAUGUAGAAAAUUGGUCAUGGCUAGUUGAAAUAGCUGGUGGAGAUCUAGCUCUUGGUAUUUGGACAGUGAUAGCUAACAGAACUGGGAGCCUGGUGGCAUAUCCUGGUGCUUCAGCUGGUAUCAAAACUGAAAUGCUUCCUUGAUCUUGAUUCUUCCUCUAAGUUAAGCUGGGGAGGAAGCACAGCACGGGGUGCUCAGCAGCAGUG
rnacentral:lncRNA from 1 species